rnacentral:rRNA from 1 species
AUUGAACGCUGGCGGCAGGCCUAACACAUGCAAGUCGAACGAGUGGCGGACGGGUGAGUAAUGUCUGGGAAACUGCCUGAUGGAGGGGGAUAACUACUGGAAACGGUAUCUAAUACCGCAUACCAUCGGAUGUGCCCAGAUGGGAUUAGCUAGUAGGUGGGGUAAAGGCUCACCUAGGCGACGAUCCCUAGCUGGUCUGAGAGGAUGACGAGCAAAACUGGAACUGAGAAACGGUCCAGAAUCCAACGGGAGGACGCAGUGGGGAAUAUUGCACAAUGGGGGAAAGCCUGAGGCAGAAAUGCGGCGUGUAUGAAGAAGGCCUUCGGGUUGUAAAGUACUUUCAGCGGGGAGGCGUUACCCGCAGAAGAAGCACCGGCUAACUCCGUGCCAGCCGCCGCGGUAAUUC